GCUAAAGUGCCCUGUACAAUCUAGGGUGAUCUGCAGAAGCCAGGGUACCCUGUAGGAGCUGGGGUACCCUGUAUGAACUGCUGGGUAUCCUGCAUGCACCUGGUACCCUGUAUGAGCUGGGAUAUCCUUUAUGAGCUGAGGUAUCCUGUAUGAGCUGGGUAUCCUGUAUGAACUGGGUAUCCUGUAUGAGCUGGGUGUCCUUUAUGAACUGGGGUAUCCUGUAAGAGCUGGCAAGCGUCAAUGUAGGAGAGUCUUGAAACCCAGCACCAGAUAGUGGUUGCUAAUCCCAGUCUUCCAUACAAGGAUCCCGGGUUCUGUGAAGAAAUGCUUAAUUCUGGGACUGGGAGGGGAGUAAACAAGAUGAGCCUGGAGCAGAAAGCAAGGAAGUGUCCAAACCAAGCCAAACCAAAACACCCAGGAUGCCGCCAUAAUGGGGACAUUUUAAAGGGACAUAGGAGGCAAUGGAAAGAACCCCCAGUGGCUAAAGCUAGAGCAAUUUGAGCAACAAAGUAAGAUAGCAUUGGAAAAUAACUCAAAGUAUAGAGCCAGCCUAUUCUGAUAGAAAUGACUGAGGAAAUAAAUAAUUGGAGGGAGAGUGACAAGUUUUCUGUGCAGACUUCCAAAUAACUUAUGUAGAUCCCCUGCCCUUGAAGAGGGGAAGCACAGCUCCCCACUUUGGCCACGUGGGCUGCUCAUAAUGACUUCUUCCAAAAGGUAUGGAAAGGGGUAAGGCAGUUUUACAGUGGAGAAACCUGGCAGACACUGCUUCAGCCAGGUCAUCACGUUUAACCAUGCUCGGUUACGUUGACCCGAUGCACCCUUGAUGGGAUGGGAUGAAAGCGCUCGACCUCCAUCACAGGUGCAGUCUCCACUCAACCCACUAUGAGAAAAACAUCAAACUCCAAUUCUUCAGUGUUCCUGCCGGUCCUCCUCAGAACAGCCAAGGUCAAGGUCAUUCAACACAGGAAAGUCUGAGAAUCCAUCACCACCAAGAGGAGUCUAAGGAGAACUGAGGAUUGAGGGCCAUGGGGUGUCCCGGCUGGGGUCCGGGGUAGAGACGGAUUUUAGGUAAAGACUAGAGAACCCCGAAUAAAGCGUGGGCUUCAGUGAAGCACUCCUGUGAGUCAGUACUGCUCUGUGAACUGGGGCGGAUGCACAGAGGAACACGAUCUAAUAAUGGGAAAAGAGGAGAUGGGGUGUGGGCUAUGUAGGAACUCUGUGCUAUCUUUACAAUUUUUCUACAAGUUCAUUAUUUUAAAAUUAAAAAUUUAGGAAGAAAAACAACAACAAAAACAUUCCCAGGGGAUUCCAUUGUCCAGUGGGCAUUAGAAUGUUGUUGUUGUUGUAAUUUGUUUAUUGUCACGUUAGCCAUUAUUUAUUAUUAUGUCACAUAUGUGAGACCACAAGGGCUGCUCCCCGCAUACCGGUGGCCCCCCCAGUUAGCUGCCUUGGGGAGGGGAGGAAGACCACCAGAGCCCAGGGUGGGGGCGAGGCGGCUCCCGGAGGCUCCCCUGCCCCUCCCAGUCCUCACCUCCUCCUCCCUGAGUGGCCUGGUGGGAUGGAAGGUGUCUGUGGCCGGCUGCCCAGAACACCAAGAAGGGCCCUCUUCCUCCUUGAACUUGAGCCAGCCCCUGGCGUCUUUCUCGGGGCCAGAGCUUUGCCUCUAAAUGGUCUUUGUUUGCAGACGAUCUGCUGUGCAGAUCAUGAACCGUCGCCGCAGUGCCAGACAGACUCUUCAUCCGGACCGGCCGUCCCACUGGGUCCCCUCAGGAAAGCGCAGAAGCCGGGGACCCCAAACCGCGUCCAGCUCCUCCCACCCGCCCUUCUCGGAGCCGCGCACUUGGUAACUUGCGUGUGAAGAACUCACGGCCGUGUUGCCAGGAAACUGCGGGGAGCAGCCUUUGUGGUCUCACAUAUGCGUAACAUAAUAAUAAAUAACGG
rnacentral:lncRNA from 1 species